CUGAGGCACUCCUAUCCUCUGGCUUCACCAUGCUGGUGGGAUUUUCAUCAGAGCCAUUAAUGUUGGCAUCAGCAGCUUCAAGCACUUCAGAAAGUCCAGCUGCCAAGAGUUCUGUUUCUGUAACCCUGCUGGGUUAUUUUAGUCACAGCGGUGUUUAAGGAAGUUCAUCAGUGUGAUCAGCCACGACUAAAAGGUUAUUAUGCUGGGAUUUAACUGGUCCGGUCCACUGGAGAUCAAACUGGGUUGAAUGUGGAACCUGAACUAAGAUGACUUUGACUCUCCUGCAGUAAUGCUUUGAUUUUUAUAGCACUUUUCAUUGCACUGCUACAUUAUG
ensembl:lncRNA